rnacentral:rRNA from 1 species
ACCGUAGGAGGCAAGCGUUGUUCGGAAUUACUGGGCGUAAAGGGCUCUUAGGCGGCCGACUAAGUCCGACGUGAAAUCCCAAAGCUUAACUUUGGAACUGCGUCGGAUACUGGAUGGCUUGAAUUCGGGAGAGGGAUGCAGAAUUCCAGGUGUAGCGGUGAAAUGCGUAGAUAUCUGGAGGAAUACCGGUGGCGAAGGCGGCAUCCUGGACCGACAUUGACGCUGAGGAGCGAAAGCGAGGGGAGCAAACGGG